rnacentral:tRNA from 1 species
AUUUAUAUAAUAUAAUAAUUAUACUUGACUUCCAAUCAGGAAAUCUAGAAAAACUAGUAUAAGUA